rnacentral:rRNA from 1 species
UAGGGAAUCUUCGGCAAUGGGGGAACCCUGACCGAGCAACGCCGCGUGAGUGAAGAAGGUUUUCGGAUCGUAAAGCUCUGUUGUUAAGGAAGAACGAGUGUGAGAAUGGAAAGUUCAUGCUGUGACGGUACUUAACCAGAAAGGGACGGCUAACUACGUGCCAGCAGCCGCGGUAAUACGUAGGUCCCGAGCGUUGUCCGGAUUUAUUGGGCGUAAAGCGAGCGCAGGCGGUUAGAAAAGUCUGAAGUGAAAGGCGGUGGCUCAACCAUUGUAGGCUUUGGAAACUGUUUAACUUGAGUGCAGAAGGGGAGAGUGGAAUUCCAUGUGUAGCGGUGAAAUGCGUAGAUAUAUGGAGGAACACCGGUGGCGAAAGCGGCUCUCUGGUAUGUAACUGACGCUGAGGCUCGAAAGCGUGGGGAGCGAACAGG